GACAGAGGGGGCAAGCGUUGCUCGGAAUUACUGGGCGUAAAGGGCGCGUAGGCGGGAUGGUAAGUCGGUCGUGAAAUCCCUCGGCUCAACUGAGGAACUGCACGGGGAAACUGCCUGGCUUGAGUUCGGGAGAGGGAAGCGGAAUUCCGGGUGUAGCGGUGAAAUUCGUAGAGUAUUGGGAAGAACACCGGUGGCGAAGGCGGCCAUCUGGACCGCAACUGACGCGUGAGGCGCGGAAAGCGUGGGGAGCAAACAGGG
rnacentral:rRNA from 1 species